rnacentral:rRNA from 1 species
UACCAGCUCUCCGAGUGGUAGGGAUGAUUAUUGGGCUUAAAGCGUCCGUAGCUGGCUUAGCAAGUCCUCCGUUAAAUCCAACGAUUCAAUCGUUGGACUGCGGGGGAUACUGCUGGGCUGGGGGACGGGAGAGGCCGACGGUAUUCUCGGAGUAGGGGUGGAAUCCUAUAAUUCCGGGAGGACCACCAGUGGCGAAGGCUGUCGGCUAGAACGAGCUCGACGGUGAGGGACGAAAGCUGGGGGAGCGAACCGGAUUAGAUACCCGGGUAGUCCCAGCUGUAAACGAUGCAGGCUAGGUGUUAGGGUGGCCACGAGCCACUCUAGUGCCGCAGCGAAGGCAUUAAGCCUGCCGCCUGGGGAGUACGGCCGCAAGGCUGAAACUUAAAGGAAUUGGCGGGGAGCACCACAAGGCGUGAAGCGUGCGGUUU